rnacentral:lncRNA from 1 species
AAAAAUGGGAGGGCGUAGGUUUGACCCUUGCCACAGGCGCUGCGUACCGUUGUUACGGCCCUGGGUGGAUCGAAAUGGAAGAGUUAAGGCGCGUUCUCACGAGUCAAGUUUGGUUGACCGAUUAUAGCUGAUCAACAAAAGUUGAAUGAAAUCUGUAGUAAGAACCUUUGUUUCAAUAGAGUUGAUCAACUUUUUAGUGGAUCAACAAAAGUUUGACCCAGUCAAACUUUACCGUUCAAGUAUGAGUCAUCCAACAUGUGGCGACCAUAUGUUUUAAAGGUGAAAUUUGUCUUGACACGUGUGAACUUCUCAGUUGACUCAAGUUCGCUUUCAACUGGUCACACCACGUGUGGAUUUGAUAUAAAAUAGUUUAAAAAAAUGAGCCUCAAGUGGUCUGAAAGUGUGAUGUUAAAAUUUUUAGAACUAUAUCAUAAGCAUGAUUGUCUUCUUAAAAUCCAUUGUCUCACCCAAAAACGACGUUUCUUACGAUUUUUGCUCAUUUUAAAUAAAAUUGUUUUUAGUUCUUCUUUUAACAAAAAUGCUAGUAUCUGCACAACUUCGCUCACAAUUUCUGUUGAUGCCAUUUUAAAACUGAAACUGUUGAUCAGUUUCUAUUGAAACGUGUGAACAAAAACUGAUUCAAGUGGUAUUCAACUUUUGUUGAUCAGCUAUAGUCGGUCAACUAGGCUUGACUCGUGAGAACGCACCUUAAAUACAAGUUCACAAACACGGAGUAACAGUGGAUUGAAAUCAGGGGCUGUCACUUUACUGUCUGACACAUGAUUUUGCGCCGUUUUGUGCGAUUGCCCAUUUAUAUGCGCAUGCGUUGCAACUACAAUUAAUUUAAAAGUUAACAUUCAUUUGCAUUGUUCAU